rnacentral:rRNA from 1 species
UACGUAGGGUGCGAGCGUUGUCCGGAAUUAUUGGGCGUAAAGAGCUUGUAGGCGGUCUGUCGCGUCUGCUGUGAAGAUCCGGGGCUCAACCCCGGACUUGCAGUGGGUACGGGCAGACUGGAGUGUGGUAGGGGAGACUGGAAUUCCUGGUGUAGCGGUGGAAUGCGCAGAUAUCAGGAGGAACACCGAUGGCGAAGGCAGGUCUCUGGGCCACUACUGACGCUGAGAAGCGAAAGCAUGGGGAGCGAACAGG